GCCAGGCCGCGCGUCUCUUCAGUCUUCAUCACAAACAAACCAUAAUUCUAACAUAUCUCUAGCUGCUUGUGAGCUUCUAUACAACGUUGGAUACAGAAAUCUUAUCUGGGUUCAAGGGGAUCUAGAGACUGCUAAAGAAGAGGAACUUACCAGAGAAGGUCCUCAAUCUUCAAAAUUUGCUGCUGUUGGAGGGGUUUCUGAGUUCCUUGCGUAGAUAUCUCUUGUUUUUGACCUUUGCCUUUUGAUGUCAUCCUCAUGUAUUUUCCCAUUCUUUAUUUCUAUUAUAUCCUGUCAUUAG